GUGCCACACCCCACACACACCCCCCCGACCAUCUCACCGCUUGUGCUUCGCUCCCCGCAGAGCCACAGCAGCUACCUGGACGUGGGGCAGUGCGGCAGCAGCCAGGAUGCCAGCCGGGAGGGAGUGUCACUGUCAUCCCACAGCUCCCGGCGCUCCUCGCACACCGCCCUCUCCGACUCCACGUCCACGUCAUCCAUGCGGCGCACAGACACCAGCACUCCCACCCGGCCGUCAGUGCCCGGGGGUCAGGCAGAGAAGGCAGCCCUGCGGCUGGCAUCAGUCGGAAGCACUCAGCCCGUGUACCACUUCCCGACCCAGCUGGGGAUGAUGCAUCAGCUGAAAGAGCAGCUGGAGGAGAGGACUCGCAUACUGCAAGCUGACAUCAAGACUCAGCAAGAAGAACUCCACGUCAUCAAGGAGCAGCUCCAGUUAGUGCAGGACUCCAACCUGCAGGUACUUACUGUCCCAGGGACUCCCAAACUCACCAACCAUUUGCUUUUCCUUUGAGCACACAGAUCAGUAACAUAAUUGUCUGU
rnacentral:lncRNA from 1 species